AACGAACGCUGGCGGCAUGCCUAACACAUGCAAGUCGAACGAAGCCUUCGGGCUUAGUGGCGCACGGGUGCGUAACGCGUGGGAAUCUGCCCCUUGCUUCGGAAUAACAGUUAGAAAUGACUGCUAAUACCGGAUGAAGUCUUCGGACCAAAGAUUUAUCGGCAAGGGAUGAGCCCGCGUAGGAUUAGGUAGUUGGUGGGGUAAAGGCCUACCAAGCCGACGAUCCUUAGCUGGUCUGAGAGGAUGAUCAGCCACACUGGGACUGAGACACGGCCCAGACUCCUACGGGAGGCAGCAGUGGGGAAUAUUGGACAAUGGACGCAAGUCUGAUCCAGCAAUGCCGCGUGAGUGAUGAAGGCCUUAGGGUUGUAAAGCUCUUUUAACAGGGAUGAUAAUGACAGUACCUGGAGAAUAAGCUCCGGCUAACUCCGUG
rnacentral:rRNA from 1 species